rnacentral:rRNA from 1 species
GGAAUCUUGGACAAUGGGGGCAACCCUGAUCCAGCGAUGCCGCGUGGGUGAAGAAGGCCUUCGGGUUGUAAAGCCCUUUAGGCUGGGAAGAAGAGUACGGGCUGAAUAAUCCUGUACUUUGACGGUACCAGCAGAAUAAGCACCGGCAAACUCUGUGCCAGCAGCCGCGGUAAUACAGAGGGUGCGAGCGUUAAUCGGAAUUACUGGGCGUAAAGGGCGCGUAGGCGGUUGUAUGAGUGUGAUGUGAAAGCCCCGGGCUUAACCUGGGAAGUGCAUCGCAAACGAUAUAACUGGAGUAGAUGAGAGGGUGGCGGAAUUUCCGGUGUAGCGGUGAAAUGCGUAGAGAUCGGAAGGAACGUCAAUGGCGAAGGCAGCCACCUGGCAUCAUACUGACGCUGAGGCGCGAAAGCGUGGGGAGCAAA